GCAACCCUGCACAGAGGGAAAGAAGAAUCUCAACAUACAGUCCUCAGCAGCUUUAGCAUGGGCAACAAAUUAAGUCUCUGUAAAAGGCCCAAAGGACAGGGUUUGGUGAGAUUCUGGAGAGCUGGAAACAUGGAGGUUGACAGGAAUGUAAAGAAGAACUCAUUUACAUGCCAGGAGGGUGGAACACCCCAAUUCCAUGAGGAUAACUGCUCCUGUACUCCAGACCUCACCCCAUGUGUCUCUUCAUCUGGCUGGUUAUUUGUCCUUUAAGAUCUCCUUACUCAACCAGUAAAUGUGUCUUUACAUUGUUUUAGUCUUGAACUAGAAGAUGAAAGCAUCAAAUAAAGAAAUAUACUGUGGGUAUAUGGAUUACAAAAAAAGUGUUAACUGGUAUAUCUUGUCUUGGGAAAAUAUGGCAGCUCCUAUGAAACAUCUCGGAAAAUUUGUAACUGAUGUUACAAAACACCCAGAAGAAAUAAGUGGUCUGAGAUCUGUGGAAGUUUGAAGUUGAGAAUGAUGACCUAGAGUAUCUGGUGGAAGAAAUUUCUAAGCAGCAAAGUGUUCAAGAUGUGGCCUGGAUGCUUCUAACAACCUAUGCUCAGAUGUAGGCACAAAGGAAUGACUUACAUUUGGAACUUACAUUUAAACAGGAAGCAGAGCCUAAAAGUUCAGAAAAUUUGCAGGCUGAUCAUGUGGCAAAUAAAUAAAAACCUUUUACAAGAGAGAAACUCAAGCAGGCUGUUGAGCAACCAUUUGCUAGAGAUAUCUGCAUAACUGAAAAGGAGCCAAAUGCUAAUAGCCAAGACAAUGGGAAAAAGGUUUCAGUGACAUUUCAGAGAACUUCCUGGCAGCCCUUCUUACCACAGGCCCUGAAGCCUAGGAGGACUGAAUGGUUUUGUAGGCCAGGCCCAGUACCUUGCUAGCCUGCACAGCCUUGAGACACGGCUCCCCAAAUUCUGGUCACUCUGGCCCCAGCCUCAGCUCAAAGGGGCACUGGUAAAACUUGGGCCAUCACUUCAGAGGACACGAGCUAUAAUCAUUGGCAGAUUCCACAUGGUGUUAAGCAUGUGGGUGCACAGAGUGCAAGAGUUAAGAAGGCUUGGUAGCCUCUGCCUAGACUUCAGAGGAUGUAUAGAAAAGGCUGGUGUUCAGGCAGAAGGCUGCUGCAGGAGUGGAGCCCUCACAGAGAACUUCUAGUAGAGCAGUGGGGAGGGGAAAUGUGGGUUUGGAAGCCCACAGAGUCCCCAGUGGGGUAUUGCCUAAUGAAGCUGUGAGAAGGGGGCCACCAUCAUCCAGAACCAAGAAUGGUAGAUCCAUUGGCAGCUUGCACUCUAUGCCUGGAAAAGCUGCAGGCACUCAGCUGUAGCACUUGAGAGGAGCCAUGGGGCUACAUCCUGCAAAUUCACAGGGGAAGAGCUGCCCAAAGCCUUGGGAGCCCACCCCUUGCAUUAACGUGCCAUGGAUGUGAGGCAUGGAGUCAAAAGAGAUUAUUUCAGAGCUUUAAGAUUUAAUGACUGUCCUGCUAGUUUUCGGACCUGUGUGAGCUCUAGUCCCUUUCUUUGCCUGACUUCUUUCUCUUGUAAUGGGAAUGUUUACCCAAUGCUGGCACCCUCAUUGUAUCUUGGAAGUAAAUGACUUGUUUUGAUUUUACAGGCUCACAGGUGGAAGGAACUCAUUUUCAGAUGGGACUUUGGACUUGGGACUUUUGAUUGAGUUGUUGCAGAAAUGAGUUAAGAUUUUGGGGAAUUGCUGAGAAGGCAUGAUUGUAUUUUGCCAUGUGAAAAGAAUAGGUAAUUUGGGGGAAGACAAGGGUAGAAUGAUAUAGUUUAGGUAUUUGUCCACACUGAAAUUUCAUGUUGAAUUGUAAUCCCCAAUGUUGGAAGUGUGGCCUGGUGGGAGGUGUUUAGGUCAUGGGGGUUGAUCCCUCAUGUCUUGGUGCUGUCCUCUCAAUAAUGAAUGAGUUCUCUCAAGAUUUGGUUGUUGUAAAGUGUGGUACCUCCACCCCCAACUCUUUCUCUUGCUCCUACAUUCACCAUGUCAAGUACCUGUUCCCACUUUGCCUUCCACCAUGAUUGUGAAGUUCCUGAGGCCUCUCGGAAAGCAGAUGCCAGCACUAUGCUUCCUGUACAGCCUGCAAAACUGUGAGCCAAUUAAACCUCUUUUCUUAUAAAGUACCCAGUCUCAGGUAUUUCUUUAUAGCAAUGCAAGAACAGCCUAAUACAAUCAGUAAAUAUGUCAGAUUCUACAAUGAGGCUACUAUAAUGUGAAGAUAUUUUUCUUAAUCAUUUACAUUUACAAAUAGACUAAAAUUCUUGUUUUAUGUUAUUGUCUUAGUUCAUUUUGUGCUGCUAUAACGGAAUACUACAGACUGGUAAUUAAUAAACAACAGAAGUUUAUUUGGCUCAUGUCUCUGGAGAUUGGGAAGUCUAAGACUGAGGGGCCUCAUCUAGUGAAGGUCUUGCUAUGUCAUAACAUAACAUGGUGGAAGUCAUCACAUGGUGAAAGCAUGUGUAAAAGAGGAAGACAGGAGAACUCAUACUCUUAUCAGGAUCCCACUCCCACAAUAUCUAGCCCUCUCCCAGGAUAACAGCACUGAUUAUCUUAGAAGGGUCUCAACUCUCAGGACUGUUGCAUUGGGGAUUACAUUUCAAACACGUGGAUCUUGGGAGACACAUUUAAACCACAACAGUGAUGUUUUGAAUAAUAAAUAUACAUCUACAAAUGUGUUUCUUCCACCUGGCAAUGCCUUCUUCUGAUAGUUUUAUUCUGCAAAUUUCAAUUAUUCAAAUAAAAUUUCCUCAUUGGCCCUCUUUAACACUUUUUCCUCUGAAAUCUUAUAUUACUUGUUGCUUUACAAAUACUCUUUAAAAAUUAUUCCACACUGGUAUCUAAAUUCUUCCUUUUUUCCCAGUCUUAUCUUCCCAAUUGGCUUUUAAUUUCCAUCAGGAAAGGAUCCAUGUGUUUUGACUUCUUGGUACUGCUCACAGUAAUACGUAAAUAAUUAAGAUUUAAUAUAAUUGGGUUUAAUUUAAUUUCAUGUAGAUUCCAAUUGAUUUUUCCAAUUAGAUGUGUGAGAUUUUUAUUCAUUAAAAUACGCAAUUAUACUAGCAUCCAUUUUUACUUGUCCAAAGAAUGAGCUAAGAUUUAAGUUAUAUUUUGCGAUCUUGAGAUACAUUUCAUAUGCUCUUCGUUGAAUCACUUUUCUAUUCAUCUUCAAAUUCCAGCUAUAAAAUAUGAUAUGCAAUUGUCUUAGCUCAGAUUGAUCACAAAUCCUUGUUCUACAAGAUACCAUGUAUUCAUAUAUUCAUAAAAAUAUCAACAGAAAUAAUAUAUUAAUAAAUAUUUAAGUAUGUAAUUUCAGAAAGAGAUGGUAAUGUAUCAGGACAGAUUUUAGUUAGGAGACACAAUAUGCUUAUCCGAGCACAAAGUUGGUUUUUAUCAAUUGAUGUUAGUUUUUGAUUAUAUACUAUAUGUAAGUUCUCUAUUUAUAAUUAUAAUUUUCUCAUUAAUAAUAAUAAUAAAUCAUACCUAUAUUGUACCUUGAAAUUAUCAAAGCCCCUUUCAUUUCCACCUCAUUUUCUCUCUUUCUCUUUUUCUCUUUCUUUUUCCCUGUUCUUUUAGUCUCUGUCUCUCCUUCAGAAAAAAUAUCAGUUACUUAGCAGGACAUAUAUUAUUGUUUCCAUGUUACAGGUUGGAAAUGAAAUUUCAAAGGAAUAAGUUAUUUUUUAUGGUCUUAUAGCUAAUAAUUAUUAAUAAUUGAUAUAUGUAGGAUUGGGAUCCCAAGGUUUAACUCCUAAUCAUGUGACUUCAGACAAAAAAACGUAGAAAUAACAGUUUUUCUGGAUUGUUACAUGGGGUCUUAGGCAAUUUGAGUCAUUAUAACAAAGUACCAUAAACUGGGUAGUUUUAAACAACAGAGAUUUAUUUUGCAGAGUUCUAGAGGCUACAAGUCUGACAUCAGGGUGCCAGCAUGGUUAGGUCCCAGUGAGGGUCCUCUUUUGAGUAGAUUGCUGCCAUUUUAUUGUCUCAUCACAGGGUGAAAAACAAUGUGAGCUAGCUCUUUGGCCUAUUUUUAUAAGGGCUCUAAUCCCAUUCAUGAGGGUUCCACCCUCAUAAUGUAACUACUUCCCAAAAGCCCUAUCUCCAAAUACCAGGAUACUGGGGAUUCGAUUUUAACAUAUGAAUUUUGGGGGAAAAUGAACAUUCACUUUAUAACACAUAGAGAGUGAGGUAGUCUGGAUAAAUGAUCUAGCGUGUUCACUCAUAAAUGUUAUUUUCAUGCUCCUUUUCUAAGCCUUUUCUAUUAUAACAGCAAUGCAGUUUGUAACUUUAAGAAUUAUUCCAUGUAGAAUGUAAAUUGAUAUAGCCAUUAUAGAAAGCAGUGUGAAGGGUUGGGCAUGGUUGCUCAUACCUCUAAUCCCAGCACUUUGGGAGGCCUAGGUGGGAGGAUUGCUUGAGCCCAGGUGUUUGAGACCAGCUUGAGAAACACAGAAGGGCCUGGUCACUACAAAUAAUAAAGGAAAAUUAGCCAGGCAUGGAGAUACAUGCCUGUGGUCCCAGCUAGUCAGGAGGCUGAGGUGAUAAAGGCUGCAGUGAGUUGU
rnacentral:lncRNA from 1 species